rnacentral:rRNA from 1 species
UACAGAGGAUGCGAGCGUUAUCCGGAUUUAUUGGGUUUAAAGGGUGCGCAGGCGGCUUGCUAAGCGGGAGGUGAAAUGCCGGCGCUCAACGUCGGAAGUGCCUCCCGAACUGGUUAGCUGGAAUGACUCUACCGUGGGAGGAAUGUGUAGUGUAGGGGUGAAAUGCUUAGAGAUUACACAGAACACCGAUUGCGAAGGCAUCUCACGAAGGGUUGAUUGACGCUGGGGCACGAAAGCGUGGGGAUCAAAC